AGAGUUUGAUCCUGGCUCAGAGUGAACGCUGACGGCGUGGAUUAGGCAUGCAAGUCGAGCGAUCCUUGCUCUAGUUUACUGGAGUGCUUGCACAAAGGUAAACAGGAGCGCUGGAUAGCGGCAAACGGGUGAGUAACACGUGAACAACUUUCCCAAAAGUCAAGAAUAGCUUCGUGAAAAUGAAGGUAAUACUUGAUAUGGCAUUAGAUCAUAAGGUUUAAUGUUAAAGGCAGGGACCUUCGGGCCUGCCGCUUUUGGAUGGGUUCGCGUCCUAUCAGCUUGUUGGUAAGGUAAUGGCUUACCAAGGCAUAUGACGGGUAGCUGGUCUUAGAGGAUGGUCAGCCACACUGGGACUGAGACACUGCCCAGACUCCUACGGGAGGCUGCAGUCGAGAAUAUUUAGCAAUGGACGAAAGUCUGACUAUGCGACGCCGCGUGAAGGAUGAAGGUUUUCGGAUUGUAAACUUCUUUUAACAAGGAAGAAAAUUGUAACUCUAACAUAGUUGCAACUGACGGUACUUGUUGAAUAAGCCACGGCCAACUCCGUGCCAGCAGCCGCGGUAAUACGGAGGUGGCGAGCGUUACUCGGAAUCACUGGGUGUAAAGGGCAAGUAGGUGGUCUAUUAAGUGAGGGGUGAAAUCUCCCGGCUCAAUCGGGAAACUGCCUCUCAAACUGGCAGACUUGAGGACGGAAGAGGGAAAUGGAAUUCCUGGUGUAAGGGUGAAAUCUGUAGAUAUCAGGAAGAACACCAGCUGCGAAGGCGGUUUCCUGGUCCGUACCUGACACUAAAUUGCGAAAGCUAGGGGAGCAAACAGAAUUAGAUACUCUGGUAGUCCUAGCCGUAAACGAUGAGCACUAGGUGUCGGCGUUAGUCGGUGCCGCAGCAAACGCAUUAAGUGCUCCACCUGGGGACUACGGUCGCAAGGCUAAAACUCAAAGGAAUUGACGGGGGCCCGCACAAGCGGUGGAACAUGUGGUUCAAUUCGAUGCUACGCGAAAAACCUCACCAGGGCUUGACAUAUAGGGAGUAGCGAACCGAAAGGGGAGCAACCCGUUAAGUUCGGGAAUCUAUACAGGUGCUGCAUGGCUGUCGUCAGCUCGUGUCGUGAGAUGUUGGGUUAAGUCCCGCAACGAGCGCAACCAUUUUCCCUUGUUGCCACCAUACAUUGCUUGCAAUGUAUGAGCACUCUAGGGAUACUGCCUGGGAUAACCAGGAGGAAGGUGGAGAUGACGUCAAGUCAGUACGGCCUUUAUGCCCUGGGCUACACACGUGUUACAAUGACUGGUACAAAGAGCUGCCAACUCGCGAGAGGGAGCUAAUCUCUAAAAACCAGCCUCAGUUCAGAUUGGAGUCUGCAAUUCGACUCCAUGAAGUCGGAAUCGCUAGUAAUGGGAGAUCAGCACGCUUCCAUGAAUACGUUCCCGGGCCUUGUACACACCGCCCGUCAAGCGAUGGGAGUUGGGGGUACCCGAAGUCCUAUGUAGAUAGGCCGAAGGUAAAACCGAUAACUGGCGCUAAGUCGGAACAAGGUA
rnacentral:rRNA from 1 species